CAGCAACCAAGACCGUGUUACGCUUUUGAUCCCCACCACUCCAAACAAAUUGGAUAACUUAUUUAAAUUAUGUGCCACUUUUACAAGUACAGAUAAUCCAUGCAUACUGGUGUAGAUUGCUGGUAUCUCUACACAUUGAGAUGGUGGUGAUGCAUUCAGCUCAGUACAGCUUGGCUCUUGGAGGCCCAGGUCAAGGGUCAAGCCCCCUGAAUCUGCAUCCAACAGUGAUAUGUUUACUCUGCCUGCCAUGGGAUUCAAAUCUUCUCAACAAAGGCACAGAUUCCCUCACCUUUACCUUAGCUUUAAUUUAAACCUUCCAUGUUCUAAAUCCUAAUGUCCAGCCCAUCCAAACUUUGGUGAGUCUUACACUGAUGUUUAGCUGAUCCAAGGUUGUUAAAGAUUAUGCAUAUGAGAAAUGGGAUGCAGCUUCAGCCAUUGCCCAUCAUGGGUUUGCAUUGUAAAACAUAUAAUUCUGAAACGUUAAUAAUGAACAGAAAACAGCUGCUGCUUGGUUUGACAUAACAGAAACUAAUAAGGUAACCAGUGGAUAAUGAGAUAACACAUGGUCAUCCCACCCAAUACGGACACAUAUAAAAGUCUCAUUUCUCACUAUCACUGUUCUAAACAUAAGUGACAGUCAUCACCCAACAUAUUAUUUUCAAUCUAAUUUUAAUCUGUGAUUUUUUAUUUUUUA